rnacentral:tRNA from 2 species
GCCACCGUAGCUCAGUGGUAGAGCAACGGUUUCGUAAACCGUAGGUCAAGAGUUCGACUCUCUUCGGUGGCUCCA